CUGAUUGCACUUGUAACUGCAGGUCAUUCUUCUCCUGCAGCAGGGCAACCAUUUUCUCCUCUAGCUCCUUCUUCUUGGCCAGUGCUUUUGCCAGGUCUUCUUUGGUUUUCCCAAACUCUUCCUUCAUGUUGGCCAUUUCCUUCUCAGCCUCUGCACUCUUCAGGAGUGGCUUGAUCUUGAAGUACACUUUCAUCCA